UAUAUCUUGAUAAUUAUUGUACAUCAGGACUAUUUGGUAAUAGCGAACGGAUUUUACAUCCUUACAGUCCCGACCCCACUAAGUUUAUAAAAUGUGACGAAGAUGGGAACUCGUUUAUUACUCAAUGUCCUGAUGGACAGGAGUGGAAUGCAGAAGCACAUACAUGUGGUACACAAGAUAAACCAUCGAAUCAAGACGAUUUACCAUCUGUUGACAAGAGCCAGAAUAACAAAAAUCCAACAAACCAGACUGAGAGUCUAGGGAUUAUUGUAAAUGAUUUUUAUGAGCUGGUUAACAUGUUUAAAAACGAAACAAUGCGGAGUGAAGUUGUGUGUCGUAGAUAUGGUCAAGAGGUCGACUGUACAUUAUUUGAUAUUCAGAUCAGUGAAUACAGCAUAUAUCUGGCCCAAGAUUCAUGGAGUUACAAAACAAAUCCAUGUCCUACGGAAGAUCAUUUAUUAAGAGAAAAGAAGGAUCGCCUGAAAGUUAAUGAGUUGGACAGCAGAAAGUUUAUUAUUUGUAAGCCAGGUGCUGUAAUGUAUGUUACCCAAUGUCCCAACAAGAUGCAUUAUUUCAAAAACGAAUUUAAAUGUCGCUUACCGCAAACUGAAACAGUUUCUUUAGAAAUAUCUGUAGCUGCAGUUGGU